rnacentral:rRNA from 1 species
UACGUAGGGGGCAAGCGUUGUCCGGAUUUAUUGGGCGUAAAGCGCACGCAGGCGGUCUCUUAAGUUUUGAGUGACAGGUAGUGGCUCAACCACAACAGGCCUCAGAAGACUGGGAGACUUGAGGACGAGAGAGGGAUGCGGAAUUCCAGGUGGAGCGGUGAAAUGCGUAGAGAUCUGGAAGAACACCCGUGGCGAAGGCGGCUCUCUGGUACGUGACUGACGCUGAGACGCGAAAGCGUGGGGAGCAAACAGG